UGCGAUUAAACUUUUAUAUUGUAAUUAACUUUAAAACUUUGUUAUUGUUUAACAUUUAAAUGCAUAAAAAUAUUAUAAAAUAAGUACAUUCGAAUGAAAGAAGUAUUACAAUAAAAUUUGUAUUGCAACAUAAUAGUUUAUUGACAAAGGACAAGAAUUGUCACUGCUAUUAUAACAAUUAUACCAUCAUAUUACAACAAUAAAAUUUUGAUUUUAAAACAAUUUCAAAGACAAAAUUUUUAUUCGAAGUUGCAUGUGUGUAUGUGUAUGCGCCGCCACCUAGUGAUGUAAAUAAUAAAAUACAUGUACAGAAUUGGAGGGAGGAAUAGUUAGCCUAUAGUAACACGUGACAAAUUGAUUCAUGGAGCACUUGUGAACAAUUUUAAGUAUUUUAAAUUUGUUAACUAUCAUGAAAAAAUUGUUAUUAAUGAUCUAUGAUUUUAAUAAGAAUAUUAUAAUCUAAUACAAAUAGUGCGAAAGUGAAAUAGUAAGAUAUUGAAAUGUAAUAACGCAAAGCCCGUACCGAAAGUUAGGUCUCACGAAGAUCAUGUCACGAACACGAGCAAGUUUUGCCGAUGGUUGCAUUACACCAGGCGAUGAGCCGCUUAAAGUUUCCGCACCGAUCAUGACUACUACCGGUAAAGGUGAAUCAUAUCGUACGUCUGGCGUAAAUACAUCAAGAUAGAGGCAAUCCUCGACCCCGUCAAUUCUACCGGAAGUUUCACGUUGCCAACACAUCUCCGAAGCAUUGUGAGCCAAAUAAGUUCCGUUCCAACAGUGUUCGAGUCUACUGAGUGGUUCAGCGGUUUGCCAUCGACGAUUUUCAACUGGUGGGACAGCAUAUGGUAUUCCACGAAAAGCAUAUGCACCAUCUUCUAAGACACCUUGAAUGGGUCCACAUGAUGUUACCGCUUCUAUGUACUUGCCGGUCUUAUGAGAUUGAUUAGCGCUUCUUCUUGGUCCAUUACAAGCGACGCAUAUGAUAAUAAUCACCGACAGUAGAAUACACAAUGAAGCAGCUUUUAAAAAAACAAUAAACACUUUUUAUUUACUUGUUUAUUAAUUUAAACAAAUAAAUAACGAUCACAAAUCGUAACUAGAUCUUACAAAAAUGAUGAUAUAUCAUAAAUACCUAAGGCAAAUAAAUUUCGCCUUGCAGCUCUCACGCAAACUGCACAGACUUGACGUUUUGGAAGUUCUGCUCCAUCAGCAGCGUCGCUAUCUAAACGUACCGUUUCCAUGCCAUCCUCAUUAGCGAUAGGAUUUUUUUCUGUCCCACCGUCAUCAAGGGUUUCGAUACUGGCCAAACCAGCGGUACCAGUCGUUCCCAAGUCAGCAUCUCCAUCCUGUAAAAAAACGAAACAAAAUCGAUGUUCAACGCAUUUAAGACACGAGAUGUUUUGUCUAUUAGACAAAUAUGUAAACUCGUGUGUACCUUGGGAAAUAGAUUCUGACCGACAAAGCUACUUAUAUAAAUUCUGCCUUUACCCAUUAUCAUUUGAUCAUUGACAUUACUUCUAACGAAUACUCGUGAAAGUUUAACGUAACGAUGUUUCUACGGAUAACGGUAGAUGAUAAGUCUUAGCCGAAGAGCAGAAAGUAACUGAGGAAAGAACGAAUCAGGUUGCACAGAUGUAAUCAACACCUGGACGAGCGUAGAGUACGGUUUAGAAGUACACUCGUAACCUAGCAUAUUGUGCCUUACACCAAAGACGAGGGUAAAAAGUGUUGUGUUAAUGAACGGUUUUGAUGGUAUACGUGAGAUACAGAGAGAUAAGAAAGAAAGUACGUAUUUAUUUUCCUCACUCUGAGAUGAAAAGAUGGUAACACGAUGCGUUAAAAUUAAACUUCAAAAGUUUUAAUAGUUUAAUUAAAAGUGAAAGUUUUUACUCUAUCGUAGAAUCAUUGAUAAAAAUACUUUCAUGAUCUUACGUCACUUGUAUCAAAAUGUAUCGUAGGUGAUUUUUUAAAGAACGAAUCGAAGGUUAAAUAUCUUGAAGUUGUCUUAUUGAUCAAGCCCACUUGACAAUCUAACAGAGACCAUUCUUAUAGGAACAAAAAAGCUAUAUGGAAAGAUGUUCUUGGUAACAUAGUGUCUGAAAAAAAAAAAAAUCUAAAUUCGUGUAAAACUUCAACUUCUUCCCAUAGAAAAUAUUUCGACAUUCUUAUUCGUGUCUUAUCUCGUACUUCGAAACGCAGCAUACAUACGUAGACUAAGGUAAAGGAAGAGUUGGAAGAAAAGAGGAUCAUAAGAGGACGCUUCGAAGAAAGGCUGUACGUGCCCGAGAGGCUUGAAAAACCUCGUAAGGUUUCGUCAAAGGGUCUGCUGUGGAUGGUUUCAUAUCCGACAAGCCGCAACACGAUGUAUUUAGUUACACCAGACAAUCUAUUUCUCUUUCGUAUUUCUAUAUUCAAAACAAUGUUUAUUGAGUAUGUAGGAUUUAGAAGAAAAGGAAAAAAAAGAAAAGCAUUUACCAUGCGAUACGCCAUUACGCAUUUUUCUUUGAUCGUUUAAUACUCUCAUAUAAAAAUUAUUACCUUAUUCUUCUUUCUAGGAAAUACGGAUACCAGCGGUAAUCUAAUGGCAUUUAGAAUGCCCUUUCGUCCUUCCUUCUCCUUUGAGUCCUUUGCCGGGGUUGUUGGUUUCUCAGGAGCAGGAGACGCAUUUUGUUCGUUUUCCUUUGUCAUAACAGCUGUAGUUUCUGUAUCUGUCAAUUCAGCGGGUUUGGUUUCAUCGUCCUGACAAAAAACAGAUCAACAAUCUCAACGAUUAUAUGAUAUAUGAAAGAUGAGACACCGGAAACGAGGGUGGCCACGCGGAGAAAAAGUCCAAUUUUCUGGUCUGUCGGAUUCUCUCAUUAGAUUUCGCAGGGGGAAAAAUUGACAGUCAUUUUUGUACAAUUGGGUAUAAAAAAAAAUCACGAGAUCGUUCUUUUUAAAGUUCUGUGAUAUAUUCGAAGAAUAAAUUUGAUUCAAUAAAUUCGACAGGGGAAAAAAAAAAAAAAAAAACAAUGAGAAAAUAAAAAAUAAAGAAUGUCUUGCCAUUCAUUAUAAUUUAGAAAAGAUAAUAUUUAUAAUUCGAUUGUGAACGUUCACACGAAUGGAUAUUAUUAUAGGAAAAUGAUAAUAACGUGAAAUCUAGAUAAAAAUUUUUGUUUAGUUUUUAAAGAAUUUCAUAUGUACACACGUAAAUCAGAAUAUUUCUGAUGAGUCAAAAAUUAUCUAGAAGAUUAUUAUGAAUUAGCAAAGCAUAAUAUUUCAUCUAAGUAUGUCAGAAAUAUUUUAAACAAAUAUGAUUCAUGUAACAUGUGGAAUAUAUGGAUUAAACAAAGUUGCGGAAGAGAUGAGUCUUCUUUUUUCGUUAGUAAAUAAUAUGACAUCUUUGGUUAAUCAAAUAUUUAUGAUAGCAAUAAAUCAAGAGAAACAAGAUAUCAAAGUUAACUUGCUUCGAAUGGUACGAGAAUAAUUUCUGCUUAACGAGAGACGAGACCGAUAUGGUCGAUCGAUAACAACAAAGGUCAAUCUACCUUCAACCGAGAAUCAUAAAUAAGUUAGAGGCGCGACAGACGAUGUUGGAAGAAAAGAAAAUUUUCCAUCAAUCUUCAUCGAAUAGAACUUCAAUAAUAUAAUAUAUUAUCGUAAUUAUUUCUAAAAACAUACACAGAAAAAUACACAUAAGGGAUUUUGUAAGAUAUUAAUAUCUAGUAUAUAUAAGUUUGAUAAUAUCAAUAAAAUAUAUCGUAUGUAUUGUAUUCGGUUUAAUUCAAUUAAAGAUAUAUACGUGAAAUGUAAACAAAGUAUUGUGACAUUAUUGUAAUCUG